CCGGGAGAUAGCUGGUUCUCCCCGAAAGCUAUUUAGGUAGCGCCUCGUGAAUUCAUCUCCGGGGGUAGAGCACUGUUUCGGCAAGGGGGUCAUCCCGACUUACCAACCCGAUGCAAACUGCGAAUACCGGAGAAUGUUAUCACGGGAGACACACGGCGGGUGCUAACGUCCGUCGUGAAGAGGGAAACAACCCAGACCGCCAGCUAAGGUCCCAAAGUCAUGGUUAAGUGGGAAACGAUGUGGGAAGGCCCAGACAGCCAGGAUGUUGGCUUAGAAGCAGCCAUCAUUUAAA
rnacentral:rRNA from 1 species